rnacentral:rRNA from 1 species
AGUGAACGCUGGCGGUAGGCCUAACACAUGGAAGUCGAACGGCAGCACAGUAAGAGCUUGCUCUUACGGGUGGCGAGUGGCGGACGGGUGAGGAAUACAUCGGAAUCUACUUUUUCGUGGGGGAUAACGUAGGGAAACUUACGCUAAUACCGCAUACGACCUACGGGUGAAAGCAGGGGAUCUUCGGACCUUGCGCGAUUGAAUGAGCCGAUGUCGGAUUAGCUAGUUGGCGGGGUAAAGGCCCACCAAGGCGACGAUCCGUAGCUGGUCUGAGAGGAUGAUCAGCCACACUGGAACUGAGACACGGUCCAGACUCCUACGGGAGGCAGCAGUGGGGAAUAUUGGACAAUGGGCGCAAGCCUGAUCCAGCCAUACCGCGUGGGUGAAGAAGGCCUUCGGGUUGUAAAGCCCUUUUGUCGGGAAAGAAAAGCAGCAGGUUAAUACCCCGCUGUUCUGACGGUACCCAAAGAAUAAGCACCGGCUAACUUCGUG